rnacentral:rRNA from 1 species
AGCGAACGCUAGCGGCAGGCUUAACACAUGCAAGUCGAGCGCCAGGUUUCGGCCUGGAGCGGCGAACGGGUGAGUAACACGUAGGUCACGUACCCUAUGGUGGGGAAUACCCCGGGGAAACUCGGAACAAUGCCCCAUAUGUCCGAAAGGAUGAAAGCGCUUCGGCGCGCCAGAGGAUCGGCCUGCGGCCCAUUAUUUAAUCCUAGUUGGUGAGGUAACGGCUCACCAAGGGUACGAUGGGUAGCUGGUCUGAGAGGACGAUCAGCCACACUGGAACUGAGACACGGUCCAGACUCGUACGGGAGGCAGCAGUGGGGAAUAUUGGACAAUGGGCGAUAGCCUGAUCCAGCCAUGCCGCGUGAGUGAUGAAGGCCUUCGGGUUGUAAAGCUCUGUCGUGGGGGAAGAAGUUCUGACGGUACCCCACAAGAAAGCACCGGCUAACUCCGUGCCAGCCGCCGCAGUAAGAC